UUUACUUAAAGAUUAUUAAUUUAUUCGAAAAUAUGAAUCAAUGGAAGUAAUAAAAUAUAAGUAAUUAAUAAUGUUCAAGUACAAGCAUUAAUACUAAUGAUUUAUGGAAAAAUAUGUGGAAAAAUUAGCGACAAUUAUUUAUUUAAUUACUGAGUAUUAAAAAAAUUAUGAUAAAUUUUAAAAAAAAAAAACUAAAAUGACCAAAUUUACUUUGUUGUUAUCAAUUAUUUUAUUUAUUGGCAUCUAUGCUACUGCAGUUAGAGCAUGCCAAGGGAAUUGGUGUCAUUCUUUUGCUGGCUAUGAUUGCGGUUGUGACGAUUACGUUUGUAGUUCAUCCCUGUUUCAAGGCGUUUGCAUAACCCGUGAUCAAGCUAUGUUAAAUAUUAUUGGAUAAAUAAAACAAAAUAUUGUUAAAAAAUCCAAAAGUGCACACUUGCAACACUCAUGUUUUAUGUUGAAUAAUAAAUUUACUAUUAUAAAUUGUCAAACUAUAUAUUUCUUCCCCAAUUAAAGAAGAUGAUUUGCAAUGAUUUACAAUGUUCAA